UACGUAGGGGGCAAGCGUUGUCCGGAAUCAUUGGGCGUAAAGAGCGCGUAGGCGGUCCGGUAAGUCCGCUCUGAAAGUCCGGGGCUCAACCCCGGGAGGCGGGCGGAUACUGUCGGGCUAGAGUCCGGAAGAGGCGAGUGGAAUUCCUGGUGUAGCGGUGAAAUGCGCAGAUAUCAGGAGGAGCACCAAUGGCGAAGGCAGCUCGCUGGGACGGUACUGACGCUGAGGCGCGAAAGCGUGGGGAGCAAACAGG
rnacentral:rRNA from 1 species